UACGGAGGGUGCAAGCGUUAUCCGGAUUCACUGGGUUUAAAGGGUGCGUAGGAGGGCAGGUAAGUCAGUGGUGAAAUCUCCAAGCUUAACUUGGAAACUGCCGUUGAUACUAUCUGUCUUGAAUACCGUGGAGGUGAGCGGAAUAUGUCAUGUAGCGGUGAAAUGCUUAGAUAUGAACAUAGAACACCAAUUGCGAAGGCAGCUCACUAACACGAAUAUUGACUCUGAGGCACGAAAGCGUGGGGAUCAAACAGGA
rnacentral:rRNA from 1 species